rnacentral:rRNA from 1 species
UACGGAGGGUGCGAGCGUUGUCCGGAAUCAUUGGGCGUAAAGGGCGCGCAGGCGGCCCUUGAAGUCAGGCGUGAAAGCCCCGGGCUCAACCUGGGAGGUGCGCUUGAUACUCGAGGGCUUGAGUGCGGGAGAGGAGAGUGGAAUUCCCAGUGUAGAGGUGAAAUUCGUAGAUAUUGGGAAGAACACCGGUGGCGAAAGCGGCUCACUGGACCAUAACUGACGCUGAUGCACGAAAGCUAGGGGAGCAAACAGG